AUUGAACGCUGGCGGCAUGCCUUACACAUGCAAGUCGAACGGUAACAGGUCUUCGGAUGCUGACGAGUGGCGAACGGGUGAGUAAUACAUCGGAACGUGCCUAGUAGUGGGGGAUAACUACUCGAAAGAGUGGCUAAUACCGCAUGAGAUCUACGGAUGAAAGCAGGGGAUCGCAAGACCUUGUGCUACUAGAGCGGCCGAUGGCAGAUUAGGUAGUUGGUGGGAUAAAAGCUUACCAAGCCGACGAUCUGUAGCUGGUCUGAGAGGACGAUCAGCCACACUGGGACUGAGACACAGCCCAGACUCCUACGGGAGGCAGCAGUGGGGAAUUUUGGACAAUGGGCGCAAGCCUGAUCCAGCAAUGCCGCGUGCAGGAUGAAGGCCUUCGGGUUGUAAACUGCUUUUGUACGGAACGAAAAGCCCUGGGUUAAUACCCUGGGGUCAUGACGGUACCGUAAGAAUAAGCACCGGCUAACUACGUGCCAGCAGCCGCCGUAAAAC
rnacentral:rRNA from 1 species